CAUGCACCUGAAAUCAUAAACUGCUGUUUUUUUAUAGCAGUAGUUUAAAUAGAGGUGCUAACAGCAACUGGAUCUUGUCGCCUUUGGGGGGCUGUGACUGUGCCCUUCAAAGUGAAUUUGGAGGUUCUACACCC